rnacentral:misc_RNA from 1 species
GAAAUGAGAUAAGUAAUGUGAAUUGCAGAAUUCAGUGAAUCAUCGAAUCUUUGAACGCACAUUGCGCUCGCCAGUAUUCUGGCGAGCAUGCCUGUUCGAGCGUCAUUUCAACCAUCAAGCUCUGCUUGCGUUGGGGAUCCGCGGCUGCCCGCGGUCCCUCAAAAACAGUGGCGGGCUCGCUAGUCACACCGAGCGUAGUAACUCUACAUCGCUAUGGUCGUGCGGCGGGUUCUUGCCGUAAAACCCCCAAUUUCUAAGGUUGACCUCGGAUCAGGUAGGAAUACCCGCUGAACUUAAGC